GACCCGGCCUGGGGCAGCUCGGGCUCCGCGCCAGCCUCGGCUCCGACCUCCGGCCUCCGGCCUCCGCGUCGCCUCCGGGCCUGGCUCUGCGCGCGGGCGGCUCCUGGCUGGCGUCGCCGAAACUGCUGAGGACGCGUGGAGUCCAGGGCUCCUAGCCCACGGUCCACAGAAUCGCGCGAGGCCAGCUGGGUAAAACUAUAAACUACCUUAAGAUUCUGAAAGGAGACAAGGAUAGAGUUCAGAAUUCUCAGUCUACAGUAGAAGAUGCGAUUCAGGCUCAGCUGUGUCUGGAUCAUCUCUGCAUAGCAGAGGCCCUGGAACCUGGCAGAGGCUGCCCGUCAGUGUGCUGUGCACACGGAAGCCACACCAGCCCUCAGCACCAAGUCUGGCCGCCUCCUGCUCACACAGUGUCCUGGGACAAGGAAACAGGCCACACGCAUGGAUGCAGUCAUGCCCAAACCUCAGAGGACGACAAGUCUGCACGCCCCAGACAGCUAGGUCCCCGGUGCCCUGCAGCCGACCCCUGUCACUUGACUCCCCCUUCCAGCUGAGGUCUCUGUACUGAAAAAAACCCAGCAUCUGGUCAUCCUGGCUGACGUGGGUGAAGUUUUUCCUGUUCAGCUGUAGCUGCGUCUGCGGUUGCCCUGCACACAUGACGGGCGCCGGUCACCGAGCCUCCGUCACAGCCCCGCAGCCGUGUGGUGACGACAUCCUCAUCAGGGCAGGCACCUGAGUCCUCAGGUCUCCCUGAGAUCCCCAAAUUGAAGCUCCAGUCCUGAACUGUUUUUUCCCUUCUGCUGAACUAAGCCGGCCCCUGACUCUCCAAGGUCUCCGCAUCCUCUGCUGCUGAAGUGAGUGAGGAUAGCAAGUUGUUCCACUGUGGCGGGUCCUCCGGCCUCAGCUGAGCAGCACUGACACACGCUGCCUCACUGUCCUGGUAUUUUCCAUGUGAUUUUGAGUUUGGUCACGCUCAUGCAUUAGUAUAUUGUUUCUGACCUGGGUGAAUUUCACUGUUCUGUGUGGUUUUUCUCUUCUGGUCUUGCUGAGAGAACCUUUCUUUAACCCACACUUGUAAAUCUGAACAGAGAUCCUAACCUACAGUGGGGUGAUGAGAAGAGAAGAGUGCAAAGGAAGAGGAACAGAGGGGCGUCUCUGAGCCGUGGAGAAAUCAGAGGUAGAGCGGGAGGUGGAGGAGAGUUCUGUACCCGGCUGUUACUGAUUUCCGUUACUGUACCAAAAUACAUGAGGGGAGGACACUUAAUAAAGAAAACGGGUCCCUGUGUCUUACAGUUCUGAGGUUCAGUGCCAGAGGGCCUCAUCUGAGAUGUUCUCCCUGCCGGGCGUCCUGAGGGGUACAGAGCGCCACCUGCAGGGCGUCAGGCCCCACACUCAGGUCUGUGUUGUGG
rnacentral:lncRNA from 1 species